AGUGAACGCUGGCGGUAGGCCUAACACGUGCAAGUCGAACGGCAGCACAGUAAGAGCUUGCUCUUACGGGUGGCGAGUGGCGGACGGGUGAGGAAUACAUCGGAAUCUACUUUUUCGUGGGGGAUAACGUAGGGAAACUUACGCUAAUACCGCAUACGACCUACGGGUGAAAGCAGGGGAUCUUCGGACCUUGCGCGAUUGAAUGAGCCGAUGUCGGAUUAGCUAGUUGGCGGGGUAAAGGCCCACCAAGGCGACGAUCCGUAGCUGGUCUGAGAGGAUGAUCAGCCACACUGGAACUGAGACACGGUCCAGACUCCUACGGGAGGCAGCAGUGGGGAAUAUUGGACAAUGGGCGCAAGCCUGAUCCAGCCAUACCGCGUGGGUGAAGAAGGCCUUCGGGUUGUAAAGCCCUUUUGUUGGGGAAGAAAAGCAGCAGGUUAAUACCCCGCUGUUCUGACGGUACCCAAAGAAUAAGCACCGGCUAACUUCGUG
rnacentral:rRNA from 1 species